rnacentral:lncRNA from 1 species
UAAAAUAUGCUUUCACGACUGAACAAUUUUUAAAGGAUAAUCGACAGUGUUUUCUUUUUGGUUAAAAAUAGUAAACAUAUUUGAUAAUUACAUAAAGUAAUAUUGACUUCAAAUAAGAAAGAAAAAAAAUGAAUUGAAGGAAUGAAAUGGGUGGAAACACUGAAUGAAGUUUAGGAAAGAAAAGGAAUGAAGAAGUGUGAGGGGCGUGGGCACAUGUGUAAUUGGAGAGGGUUUGAAUGAUAAGAAAAACGUGAAACUAAACGCUUACAUUUUAAUUGAUAAUGCGAAUGAGUAUGAAAAGAACGUAACAGCAAAAGAAUUACUUACCGGAAUAGACAGGCGACAGUCGUGAUGGUACUGAAAAAGUAGAAAGUACAGUUAAAUAAUAAUAAAAAAAAAUAACCAGCAGUCUUAACAGGUCUCCAUCUGCCCACCGUAUCUUACUUUCUGAUUGGGUGUGGUCGACGGCGCUUGUUUAUAAGAAAAGUAGCUGAAAUGUUAAAGAGAUGAAUAAACAAAAGACUUUCACGAAACGAUAAGCGAAGCAGAACAAAGAAGGUUGAGAUUUUUACAGGAAAAUGCAGUAAAUCGAAUGGUUAUAAGAGAAACGCUUCACUUCAAGACGAAAAUACUAAGAAAGGGAGAGAGUGAGGUAAAUAUGGAAAGAAUGAAUUCAAAGGACCAACACGAUUGUAGAAAACCAAAUUAUAAUUGAAUUACGGGAACCAAUAACAGACAAUGACUGAGCGUUCUUGGGUAAAUUUUUUUGAAACUCGGGCAUUUUACGACUAUGAGGCAUUUACAUAUAAGUUACCACUUCGAUAUUUUCGCGCCAACAGGAAUAUUCGUUCUGUCAGCAUUGAUGACACAAGACGAAGGAGACGGAGGAGACGGAGAGCUGGAGGUGGUGGUGGUGGUGGUUGCUGUUUAAAAGUGCUGCUAGCUUCUCUGGUGGUUUCGUUCCUGUUUUUUCUCGGUGCUGUUGCGUCAUUAUUCUUUCUGUCCAGCGAACCGGAAAGUACAACGACCUCACCUUCGUAUCAAUCUUCUACUUUAUCUGACGGUUCCAUUGAUGACGGCGGAAGUGGAAUGGCUGAAAUCUCAAUUAUAUAAACUUGACCUUUUGGGGCUCAAAAAGCAGAUUUGACAUUUUGUGAAGAAUUAUUGGAAUGACACUGCAAUCAAGAACGAAAAAUAUGAAGCAUCUCUUCAACAGGGAAUAAAAGGAAAGAAAAAUGACGAGCUGAGAUAACUUCCCUGUUCUCACAGAUUGGUAAAAAGCUCGAUGGAAAUGGUUUCUUGAAAGAUUUAACCAUUCAAUAGAAUGUGGGAGCAAAAUGAAGAAGUGAUAUGUCAUGACUUUAAGAAAUGCUGAAUAUCCAGUGUUUGUGCAAUAUACCAUAAAUGAUGGCUUUUAAGACACAUGUUUUUUUCCAUAAAAAUGUCUCAGAAAUCACCCUCGGGUCCGAUAUGCAAAAGUGGGUCUCCCAAAAACUAACUUUGCCCCUGACACUCACUACUAUCGACUAAUUUUAAUCUAGAUGGUCCCUUCUCCCAAGUCUGACCCCAUAAUAAUAUUUAAUUAAAACUUAUUAUUGUUAUUGUUCCUAAUGAAUGGGGUGGGGUGGGGGUGAGCUGGUAGAAUCAUUCUCAGCUCACCAAACAAAAUGCUUAGCGACUUUUCUUAUGGUUUUAUGUCUUGUGUUUAAAUCCUGCCGAGGUAGACUUUGCCUUUCAUUCUUUCGGAGCCAAUAAGAUAGGUAUCAGUUGAGCACUAGGGCUUGAUGUA